rnacentral:misc_RNA from 1 species
GAUGAAGAACGCAGCGAAAUGCGAUAAGUAGUGUGAAUUGCAGAAUUCAGUGAAUCAUCGAAUCUUUGAAUGCACAUUGCGCCCUUUGGUAUUCCAAAGGGCAUGCCUGUUCGAGCGUCAUUUGUACCCUCAAGCUUUGCUUGGUGUUGGGCGUCUUGUCUCUAGCUUUGCUGGAGACUCGCCUUAAAGUAAUUGGCAGCCGGCCUACUGGUUUCGGAGCGCAGCACAAGUCGCACUCUCUAUCAGCAAAGGUCUAGCAUCCAUUAAGCCUUUUUUUCAACUUUUGACCUCGGAUCAGGUAGGGAUACCCGCUGAACUUAAGCAUAUCAAUAAGCGGAGGA